rnacentral:tRNA from 2 species
GGGGAUGUAGCUCAGUGGUAGAGCGCAUGCUUAGCAUGCAUGAGGUCCUGGGUUUGAUCCCCAGCAUCUCCA